UACGGAGGGGGCGAGCGUUAUUCGGAAUUAUUGGGCGUAAAGGGCGCGUAGGCGGCUUGAUGUGUCAAAGGUGAAAUCCCUCGGCUCAACUGAGGAACUGCCUUUGAAACUGUCUGGCUUGAGGCCGGGAGAGGGUAGCGGAAUUCCGGGUGUAGCGGUGAAAUGCGUAGAUAUCCGGAGGAACACCGGUGGCGAAGGCGGCAUCCUGGACCAAUUCUGACGCUGAUGAGCGAAAGCCAGGGGAGCAAACGGG
rnacentral:rRNA from 1 species